rnacentral:rRNA from 1 species
UGGGGAAUAUUGGACAAUGGGGGCAACCCUGAUCCAGCCAUGCCGCGUGAGUGAUGAAGGCCCUAGGGUUGUAAAGCUCUUUCAACGGUGAAGAUAAUGACGGUAACCGUAGAAGAAGCCCCGGCUAACUUCGUGCCAGCAGCCGCGGUAAUACGAAGGGGGCUAGCGUUGUUCGGAAUCACUGGGCGUAAAGCGCGCGUAGGCGGGUCGCUAAGUCAGGGGUGAAAUCCUGGAGCUCAACUCCAGAACUGCCUUUGAUACUGGCGACCUUGAGUCCGGGAGAGGUGAGUGGAAUUGCGAGUGUAGAGGUGAAAUUCGUAGAUAUUCGCAAGAACACCAGUGGCGAAGGCGGCUCACUGGCCCGGUACUGACGCUGAGGUGCGAAAGCGUGGGGAGCAAACAGGAUUAGAUACCCCCGUAGUCC